AAACCAAUCCAGCCUCGUGCUUGGGUCUUGGGCCUUUCGCCUCUGGGCGGGCCUCAAAAUCAGUGGCGGUGCCGUCUGGCUCUAAGCGUAGUAAUACUCCUCGCUAUAGACGUCCGGUGGUGUCUUGCCAGUAACCCUUCUAUUUUUAAAGG
rnacentral:misc_RNA from 1 species